AAUUUGUGUUGAGGGCAGCGGUGAAUGAAAUCUUUAUACCUUUCGCAUGCCUCAUAGAGUGAAUUGAAAUCAUUUUGUUUGAAUUUACCAAUAUCGCUCCUGAGUU